rnacentral:rRNA from 1 species
CCGGCGCACGGGUGAGUAACGCGUAUGCGACCUGCCCGUUGCAGGGGGAUAAUCGGGAGAAAUCCCGUCUAAUACCGCGUAACGCCGCGGGGCUGCAUGGCCCUGCGGCCAAAGGGAGCGAUUCCGGCAACGGAUGGGCAUGCGUGACAUUAGCUAGUUGGCGGGGCGACGGCCCACCAAGGCGACGAUGUCUAGGGGUUCUGAGAGGAAGGUCCCCCCACACUGGUACUGAGACACGGACCAGACUCCUACGGAAGGCAGCAG